rnacentral:rRNA from 1 species
UCCUUCUUUCUCUCUCUUUUUUCGGAAUUACUGGGCGUAAAGCGUACGUAGGCGGUUAUUCAAGUCAGAGGUGAAAGCCUGGAGCUCAACUCCAGAACUGCCUUUGAAACUAGAUAGCUAGAAUCUUGGAGAGGUGAGUGGAAUUCCGAGUGUAGAGGUGAAAUUCGUAGAUAUUCGGAAGAACACCAGUGGCGAAGGCGACUCACUGGACAAGUAUUGACGCUGAGGUACGAAAGCGUGGGGAGCAAACAGG